rnacentral:rRNA from 1 species
ACACUCCUACGGGAGGCAGCAGUGGGGAAUUUUGGACAAUGGGCGAAAGCCUGAUCCAGCAAUGCCGCGUGAGUGAAGAAGGCCUUCGGGUUGUAAAGCUCUUUUGUCAGGGAAGAAACGGUGAGAGCUAAUAUCUCUUGCUAAUGACGGUACCUGAAGAAUAAGCACCGGCUAACUACGUGCCAGCAGCCGCGGUAAUACGUAGGGUGCAAGCGUUAAUCGGAAUUACUGGGCGUAAAGCGUGCGCAGGCGGUUUUGUAAGUCUGAUGUGAAAUCCCCGGGCUCAACCUGGGAAUUGCAUUGGAGACUGCAAGGCUAGAAUCUGGCAGAGGGGGGUAGAAUUCCACGUGUAGCAGUGAAAUGCGUAGAUAUGUGGAGGAACACCGAUGGCGAAGGCAGCCCCCUGGGUCAAGAUUGACGCUCAUGCACGAAAGCGUGGGGAGCAAACAGGAUUAGAAACCCUAGUAGUCC